rnacentral:tRNA from 1 species
GGUAGUAUAGCUCAGUGGUAGAGCGCAUGCUUAGCCUGCACGAGGUCCUGGGAUCAAUCCCCAGUGCCUCCA